UCAGUGCGUCUGAGCAGGCCCACCUGCCAAGCAAUAUGUUCUCAAUCCCUCAGGCAGAGCAGUGCAUUGCUCGGCUAAGGAAAUGUCCCCCCACUGAGCAAAUGGCAGAGCCACGGAACACAGGCAACUGUGAGCGCAUGCGCACAGAAGAUCACAGACGCACGGCAGGAGGGGCGAUGGGGAGGGACAGUGAGGAUGUUCCCGUCAAGCUUCACUUCACAGUGACAGGCAAACGAUCUCACGGUUUUUCUUUCUUUCCUUUUUUUCUUUCUCUAAUGAACUACCAUAGGCUGCUAAUCGCAUACAUCAUUAACACAAGUGGCUGGAGGUUGGCUGUGGGAUGGCAGGCAGAUCGGUCGCCGAAGCCCAAAACGGGGAAGGGACGGGACUGAACGCUCAGGAUCACGCAGAAGGGGCCUGUCUCGUGGUGCUUAGGUGUGCCGGUGGAGGACAAAGGCAUAGUCUGAUGGACCCCUCUUUGCAGGGAGGGGAGGCAGCACACCGCAGGUCACUAGAGAAUGCAGCAGGUUCCCCGCACUGACUGAUGGGAGAGCUCCCCACCACCCUGCUUCUGCUGGUCUCCCGGAGGCGCCCCUAGACAGAGAGGCGGGCUUUGCCUUUUCCCUGGAAAAAGCAGACUUUUGUCAAGGCCGGGCACCGGGGCUUCCGGCUGGGAGUGCUCCGGCUAAUUAGGGAUAGCAUGAGGCCUGCGCUGUGAAGAAACCCUCGGAGGCACAGGACAGACUCCGCUUUCAGCUGCUGGGAAGAGGGGAGCGGGACAUGCUCCUCUCUGGGUGGGGAAGCUCUCUGCAGAUUAUGUAAUGAGGAACAAUGAAUGGCUUUCUCGCGGGCGGUGGAAGGACAGCGCUGUUCAAAGCAGUUAACACAACGUUUUUUACAAAGGCUGCAAUCUUACUCGGGAUUUUAGGUCAGUCCUCUCUAACCUCUUUCAAGAUCUCCAAACGGUUUUGUCAGGUCCUGAACCGCACGGAGUGGACGGUCACAACAGUUCUCGUCGAGGCCCACGACAGACUGCUCGCUUGUAUUUUAUAUGGCUGUGCUGAGCACAUGAGCUAGCACACGGGAGAACAAGCUCCUCGCACCUGCUGAUGGCGGGAGGAAGGCCAGCUCCCAGACAAAACAAGCAGCGGUUAGAUUCCGGUUAAGCCGAACGAUGAAGGAUCGUGCAGCCGCUGAAAACUAUAGUUUGGUUCUCUAGUGAGGAACGUUUCAAAAGCACCAGAAUGUAUCAACAGGAAAAAAAGCAGAAUAAUCUGCGAUAGUAAAAGGCACUGAUCUCAAGUAUACAGUUUGUUGAGUUCUGAUAAAUGUAUGCAUGCGUAACCUGUCUUCCUGCCAACACGUAGGACGUUUGCAUGUUGACUGGAUUUUGAUUCCUUUAUGACAGCAUUACUGAAAACCCACUAUUUUCCCCAUGUAAUAGGCCAUAAAUUCAAGUAAGAUCCUUGGACCAGAUCAAACAUUAUUUAUGUAGGAUCACUGCCAGAUUUUUUUUACUUAAAAGGGAUUUCGUGAAUCUGACAGUCUCACCGUAAGAGCAACAACAAAUACUGCAAUGGUAUUCCAACAGACGUCAGGCUUCAGAGAAGCACGAGGCGCACUCCCUGUACUCGAGGUACUUGAUGCCUAAUGGGGAAGGCAGAAAACAAACAACAAGCGUCCAUCCAAAGUACUCCAACUAAAGCAGUGAGCAAAUAAAUAAAUAAGCAUCCCUGACACAACAACUUGUCAAUGACAUUAUCCAGUUGGUGGACAUUAGCCAGAUGUCUUGGGUCAGAAUCGUGGACAAAGACCGUCACCUGAAGUUUCACUCAGCAACACUCAAUAACAGCGCAUGAUUAUUACAUACUAAAAAUCAAGAGGCUCCCAAAGACACUUAGUGACUGACAGCUUCAUCUCCCAGGCUUUUUAAAGUUCAUCAUGCAAACACAGACAGUGUGAAACAGUUAGUCUAAUUAAGCAUUUUCCUUAUCCUCCCCCAGCAGAACUGCGUUUGAGAUAAAGGAUAAUGGCACUAAAUGAACAGGUUAAUUAGAGACAGCAUUUACCCCCGCAGGCCCUUCACUGGAAACACCAUUUCACACCAUUACAUCACACAGGAGAGCCAGGCUCCAGGGACCAGCUCCUGAGACAGCCAGUGACCGGCAGAGAACGUAGCAAGUAGUAGAAAGGGAAAUCAAGUUGGCGUACCCAGUGUGUGUGCUCAGCCAGGAUGGCCCCCCAUAUUUCUCUAGGGCGUGAGCCCGCCAACUAGAGCUGCAGGCCAAAUCCACCCCGCGGUCACUUUUUGUAUAGCCCGUAAGGUUAGUCUCUGCAUUUUUAAGGUGUUGUUUAAAAAAACAGAAAAAGAGAAAAGAAAUCAAGAAAGAACGUAUGGCAGAAACCUGCGCGGUCACAAAAGCUAAUAUGUUCUCUCUGGCCCUUUACAGAAAAGGUUUGCCAAGCCAUUGUCUCGGAUGAUAGGAAUCAAGCUAUGUGCUCAAUACGAAAGGAAGGAGGGUAAAGAGAAUUGCAAAAUGUUCACAUGGGAGAUUUUUUUUUUUUAAACUCCAACCCUGUCACCAGGUGCCAUGCUACAAAUAUCUUAAGCUGAUGCAGAGGUGUCCUUUUGUUAGGAACAAAGCUUUCUCUCUGUGGCUAUCUAGGAAAAAAAGCAGCAGAAAUCUGAGCAACUUAUUAAUUCAAACAACUUUUUUUUUUUUAAAUAAGAAAACACAAACUUGUCUCCUCCUCCCUUCUCACCUCCCUCUUUCUCCAACCUAGUCAUUAUUUCAAGUUUGAACGUGUUCUUGUGAAAAUAUUAUGAUUUAAGGUAGUGCCUGCUAUCAUUCCAUUGGUUUUGGGGGUUUAGGACCAAGUUUUAAAAUAGGUUACAAGCUGAAACUUGGCGGAGAGAAACAGACACUCAGGGUAGGCACCAAUUGUAUGUAAUUUGAAAACAGCCGGUUUCGAAUUUGCUAAUUCAUAAGAGCUCAGGAAAGAAGGCAAACCUCAACAACCUAACCUAACUGCAAAAUACUUGCAUUCUGAAUAUAGCCCAGCGCCCAUUCAGAAUCUGUCAUUAAUUCAGCCGAUGUUUUUCUUCCCAGAAUAAUAAAUACUUUCUUCAAUUGAAAUGUGGGAUCAUUACAAAUAAAAAUAUUGCU